UACACAGUGCACACUUGUGACUUGAAGAUGCGACGCCGACCGCGGCGUUGCGAAAUGUUAUUAUUCGGGUCGUUGUACAAUAUAAUGAAAUAAUACAUGUAUAUGACGCAAGUUCGUUUUAUGGAAAAUUUAUUUUAAAUGUUCCACAACCUACAACUGCGCGACGGACGUAUGUAUAUAUAUAUACCAAAAAAGGAAGAAGACGGACGUGUCUAUCGGCGAGAGAAUGAAAACUGUCCAAGCAAGCGGAGAGCGUGAAGACAGAUGCGGACCGUGACCAUGCCUACGCGCGGCACAAGUUUACCUUACCUACUUGAUCGUAAAUAAAAGGGAGAGACGAUCUUCUAUGUACAAAUAUUAAUGUGCAGAUACGACAGGCAAGUUGAUAAUGUUAUCGAGACAAAAAUGCAAUGCUUUAUUGUGAGAUAUAAGAAUUAAAAGUUGCAUUAAUAAU